CUCCAUUGCCUGUUUGUUCAUUAACUGCCACUGGUAGCUUUUCUUCCAAUUCAGCCAGGCGCUCAUGUGCUUCCUGCCAAUCAUCAUCAACUGCACCUGACCCAAAUGUAUCAUCAUUGAAUUGAUCAAUCUCUUCAUCUUCUUCUCCCAGUCCCUGAAAUGCAUCUUCAUCUUCAUCCAGAGGACAAUCCUCCAAAGACUCGUAGCGGAACAUUCUUGGGGAGGGGGGCAGGGAGCGGG
rnacentral:lncRNA from 1 species